rnacentral:misc_RNA from 1 species
AGUGUUGCUGGUCGAAAGAUCCGCUCACUCGUAAUAUAUUAGCAUCUCCAAAUCGAAAUUCGGAUUGACUCAGUGUAAUAGACUAUUCGCUGAGGACACUCGCAAGAGUGGCCGAAUCUUGACAAUAGUAGAAGCUUCCAACUCUUGUAGUCAAUUUUAGAUUAGACCUCAGAUCAGGCAGGAUUACCCGCUGAACUUAA